GGAUCGACGGGCUUGACAAAGAUAACUUUGUGUACAGCUACAGUUUGGUUGAAGGAGAUGCUCUUUCAGACAAGGUUGAGAAAAUCAGUUAUGAGAUUAAGUUGGUGGCAUCUGCUGAUGGAGGUUCCAUCAUAAAGAGCAGCAGCAACUACCACACCACAGGGGAUGUUGAGAUCAAGGAAGAGGAUGUUAAGGCUGGCAAAGAGAAGGCCACUGGUCUGUUCAAGCUCAUUGAGAACUACCUUGUGGCCAACCCAGAUGCCUACAACUAAAACCUUAAACGAAAUAUACUGCAUGUGCUUUCUCUGUCAUUAUAUUGGUGUGGCUUUCAUUUUUCCUUUCCUUUUUGUUGUCUAUCAAGCCAGAGCUGCUUUGGCUUGCACCCAAGGCUAUGAUAAAUUGUAAUUUUUCUAUUUGAUUUGAUUCUAAAUAAAUAAAGCAAAAAUCAGUUGCUGGUCUUUACAAAUUUGGUCUGCAGUAUCUUUUUUUUCUUCAAUUUCAUGAAUUUAUAUAUAUUUUUUUUUACAAAUGAAAAUUUACUAGUGCAAAGUAAAGAUUCGAUAAAAUUGGAAUGAUAAGGAUGAAACACAUAAAUCGAGAAAUGGCCCUUUGGUUUGGUCAAGGUUUUUGAGAAGUAUCAUUUGGCCCUGAUGCCUACAAGUAAAACUAUCUGUCACAGUACUGCUUGUAAAGAGCAACAAAAGUCUUGUGUCCUCUUUUUCUAAAUUCAUUCAUUGGUGCAGCUUUCAUUUCUAUGAUGAGUGUGUAUUUAUUUGAAUUCAAUCUUUAUAAUUAAAGGAACAUCAUUUGCUAAUUAUUUGAUUCCGCUAAUUAAAGUGACUCAGUCUAUUUGCAUGUCUAAAAUGUUGAAAAAAAAAAAAAACUAAAAAAAAAAGAAAAAGAAAAAGAAAAAGACAUUGCAAAGAAUCAUAUCUUCAACAUGAUCAGUCCUGAGUCUAUUUGCAUGUCUUAAAUGUUGGUCAAUCCUCCUCAGUCUGACCAUAACCAAUCAAUCUUAAAUUUCAAAUCAACCGCCACGAUUUCUUACACUAUAGUAUGUGUGAGUUUAAUAUGUUAUCGCCCCUUUUAAUACGAAAGGUCUUUAAAAAAAAAAAAAAACCAGCCAUUUCCAAUUUUCCAUUGUUUGGAAUGGCACUCAGCCGCGUUCUUGCUAUCUGUCGCCGCAAAUGCCCAGCAAGUUGCUAGUGAGAAUUGGUAAACAUAAUUAGCUAGUUGUUGGGCAUAACGAUUGCGGACAACGUAGCAGAUAUCCACAAUAUGAAGAUUCACGACACUGUUUUCAUUAAUGUCUGUUUGGGCCAAAAUUAUGCACGCCAGCCUAUUUUUUGGUCAAAAGGCCAUGAACGAAACAUUUUGGGCUUUUAUCUAGGGGAAUUAGAAAUCAAACCAAGAAGCUAAAUGAAGCCUAGGCCUUUUCAGCAGAUUGUGAAUAUAGCCCUAGUCUAAAAAUAUAAAAGAACCAUUAUUGGCCACUCACUCUACCCAAGGAAAAAGCAAGUCAGCAGAUCUUUCUAAAAAUAGGUUUCUCUCAAAAAAUCCCACGCGACUUUCUGACUUAGAAAAAGUCAAAAUUUUCAACUAUCACAGAGGAGGUGAUAGGGAGUUAAUGAAGGUAGGUCUUACAUGAGGAUUUCUCCAUUCUUUCUGCAGCCAAGGAAAGAAGAUCAAAUCCCAUUUUUUAUAUACAGAGAAACUCUGCACCAAAGCAGAUGACCUUUCCAAGAGAUAAGCAGACUACGUUUUCAAGAGAUAAGUAGGGAGCAAGGAGGUUGCGCACCAAGAAAAGCAAACUGACCAUCAUAGCAGAUUGUGUUUUUACAAGUAACAAACAAAGAACAAAAAGAGUUCGUUUUCUCUAAGAAAAAAGUAAGGAAAAGAUCACCAUCGGAACUGACUAUUGAUGGUUCUUCUCUACCAAAAAAAUAACUUACUUUUUUUUUUGGGUGCAUUUAAAAGAAAGAUAUUUUGAAAGAUCUGCCGCCCAUUAUUUAAAGAUUAAAAACCCCACUUCAGCAUUUCCUAUAAAUAUGAGAGGAGGUGAACAGAUCAAAUGACAGCCAAAAAAUCAAUCAAGACAAAAACUCUCAACGUCACAACUGACAAACUCAAAAAGAUCAACUAAUCUCAAAAGUUUUCAGACACUGAAACAACCAAAGUUCUUUGAUCCACAAGAAACAAAUCAGCUAGAAUUCAAAUCUUUGAUUUCAGUUCAGUUCAGAGAAAUAGUUUUACAAAGCGAGACUUUUCUCGUUACAAAUUUGGUUCAGCACAAGCCAAGUCAAGCAGAGUCCACGUUUUUAUAAAUAUGAAAAUCUUAACAAAUUUAUAGAAAGCCUUGGUCAAGCAGAAUAGGUAUGUAACACCCCGACUCCCCCUUAUUUAAUUUAUUUAAUUAUUUAAGGGCAUUUUGGUCAUAUUUUUAACCGGAGAGAGUUUGGGGCAGUGAUCAGUAUUUUUGGAUAGGUCGUACUGAGACGAGUUCAUAGACACGUAGUGGGCUCGAAUCAGAGUUGUAACGAGAGAGAUAUGGUCAAAAGAAACCCAGUGGCACAAUCGUAAUUAUUUCGAAAUGGGAUAUUUUACAAAAAUCAGAUUUUUUUUAUCUCUCUCUCUCUCCCUCCUGCGAGCUCUCUCCCUCUCUCCCGUCGGUCUCUCUCUCUCUCUCUCUCUCUUCGUAUCUCCGGCCACCGGCCUCGGCUGCGGACGGGACCGGUGCCAAAAGGACCGGCUCGGCCUCGGCGUCACGACCCAGCCCUCCCCCGACAUUGGCCGCCGCUCCAGCCGCCGAAAAAUGGCGAUUUUCGCCCCGUUGUCGCCCGAACUUCGCCGGCUCCGAUCUCCCUCCUCCGGCCGCCAUUUCUGGCGAUCAAGGUAUGGAAAUUCAUCCCUUUUGCAUGCUCUAGCUGCCUGUUGGGUAGGAUUGGAUCGAUUCUUAGCGUAGCCAAUUCGAUUUUCGAAUUGAAAUUCGGCCAGUUUUGGGAUCACGAUUUCGGCCACUUCCGUUCAGUUUUUGAGGUAGGUCCAAGAACAAAAGUGACUCCAAAUAGGGUGUUAUACCUAGGGUAGGAGUUUGGAGCCGUGGUUUUGAGAUUUUCCGGCGAAGCUUUAUCGCUUUGGGCACCCACGCACUGCCGGCGCGUGCGGCGGCGCGUGGGCACUGUAGAAAAAGUGACACUGUGUCUUGAUGAGAUCCUUAGGUUGUCACGAGUGCGUAGGAUUUUGCGGAUCUCAAUUCGGACGUCGUUUGACUAUCGAACGGACGAUCGCAUAUUGUGUGUUAUCCAGGUUCGAUAGGUUGGGACCGUUGGAUGGUCCCAAAUUUAAUAUAUGUUAAUCUAGGUAUUUCUAGGAUCGUGUAGGAAUUUACGGAUUGUGAAUCGGAGCCCCGGAUAUUCCGAAUAAUAAUUUAAAGUUUAUAUUCCAUAUUAACCGUCAGAUCGUACGAUCGUGAGCGAUCCGACCGUCCGAUCCAAACCAAAUUUGUAGGACGAGUGUCCUAUAUCUUAUAGAACCCAUAGGGACUUUCGGAUCGGAAAUCGGAGGUCGUAAGCUCCUCAGGUCCGUUUGACCAGGGUUAGGGUAGUUUGACCCUUGGUUGACCGCGAGUAUCCCGGAGUAAUCUCACCUUUCCAGGGGGGAUUUUCGGGCGUUAGACUAGUGUGGAGGGUUACACAAUAUUAGAAUUAAUAUAUAUAAUUAUAAUUAUAUAUGUUUGUACAAGGGUACAAAAGAGUCUAGAAUGUCAGUUUGGAGUGCUAUACGCACUACCUUAGGUACCUCCCCGGAUUUUGGUUACACUACAAGUACCACCAAGUGAAAGUUAGGUCCCACGUGGUGUAGGUUAUCCGGCGUGCGGACAGGCCCCAUACGUGGCUUUGGUUGUACCGGCGUAUGGGGAGAUGUGAUAUGAUGUUCAGGUCUCACGUGGCGUAGGUUAUCCGGCGUGGAGACAGGCCCCAUACGUGGCGUUGGUUGUACCGGCAUAUGGGGAGAUUAUGUAUAUUGUGUUGAGGUCGCACGUGGCGUAGGUUAUCCGGUGUGUCGACAGACCUCAUACGUGGCGUUGGUUGUACCGGCGUAUGGGGAGAUGUGAUAUGAUGUGCAGGUCUCGCGUGGCGUAGGUUAUCCGGCGUUGAGACAGACCCCAUACGUGGCUUUGGUUGUACCACCGCACAGGGCCCUCGAUUCUUAAGGACCCCCCGAAAAAAAUUUCUUUAUAGUAUAUAUAUUAAUAUUAUAGGAAUUGUAUAUAUAGUAUAGCGUGCCAGACAUUUGCACAAGGACAUGUCUGGUGGAGUUGGCUCCAGCGCUUCUCCAUUUAACGUAGCGCCAGAGUUCAAUUCUUGCUGAAGUCGGUCUAUAUGCUGUUUUUAUAUUAUUUUUGCAUUAUAACUAAAAACUUUACAUAAUUAAUAAAUAAAUAAAUAAAUGAAAAACCAAAAAACCCUUGAAAUAAAAAAAAAAAAAAAUAUAUAUAUAUAUAUAUAUAUAUAUAUAUAGGCUUACAUUAUUUUCUCAGAUUCUGGUAAAAAUCAGAAACAUAAUUUAAGGAUCCUAAAAACUUUUGGAGUUGACUUUUAUUAAGAAUUUGAUCGGGAAACUUAUCAGCAAACUGAAUAACUCGAUCAAUUGGGGAGAUUUGCGACUGGCAUAUAUUGAAACCAAGAAAACGGACAUUGGUUUAGAACAACUUGAUCUUUUUGGCAGAAACAACUAGACCAUUCUUUUUGAUAACCUGAAAGAAAGUAUGCAAAUGCUUCCAAUGUUGUUCUAUGGACUCAGAAAAGAUGAGGACAUCAUCAAUGUAGACAAUUGAAAACUGGCUGCAAGGAUUGAAUAUAUCAUUCAUAAUAUUCUGGAAUUCACUAGGGGCAUUUUUCAAACCAAAGGGCAUUACAUUCCAUUCAUAAUGGCCGAAAGGGGUGACAAAUGCAGUUUUAUAUCUAUCUGACUCUUCUAUUUGGAUUUGCCAGAAGCCACUCUUCAUAUCAAAUUUGGAGUAAACAACUGCUUUUUCUAAUCGAUUAAUGAGGUCUCUUUUAUUAGGUAUGGGGUACCUAAUCCAUUCUAGAACUGCAUUAAGUGGCUCAUAGUUGAAAACUCAUCUGAGUCUGAUUCCAGUCAUAUUUCAGAAAUAGAAAGAGCUUUUAAAAAUUUAGAGAUCCAAGUUGAACCCAGGGUCAAAAGAUUAGAAAAACAUAUAAGCCCCGCUAGUUUGACCAAAAAUUGGUAUCCUCGACCCACACCUCCAGACAUUCAAUUUGAAGAAAGAAACUUUCAAACCCAGUUUUCGGUUUCUUCUGAUAAAUUGUAUGAAUGGAAUAUUGAUGGUCUUUCUGAGCAAGAGAUCCUGAAUAAGUUACAACAUAUGUCCAUGGUUGCCAAUAGUUUUAUCACUAAUCACAGUUUCAGACAGUCUGAAAUUGUUCCUUUGUUAGUUACUGGUUUUACUGGUACUCUCAGAUAUUGGUAGGAUAAACAUUUAACCCCUGAGUCUAAAAGCCGAAUCACUUUUGCUGUAAGACUUAAUGAAGACGGUCUGCCUAUAUUUGACGAACAAAUAGGUCAAGGUAUAGAAGACGGAGUCAACACUUUGUUUUACACAAUAAUUGAACAUUUCAUAGGAACUCCUAGUAACACCACUGCUAGGAUUCAUGAUCAGUUAAGUAACCUCAGAUGCCCUAAGUUGUCAGAUUUCAGAUGGUACAAAGAUGUCUUCAUUUAUAGAGUCAUGCUUAGAGAUGAUAGUAAUCAACCCUUCUGGAAAGAAAAAUUCGUUAAUGGUCUUCCCAAUUUAUUUGCCCAUAAAAUCCGAACUACCCUCAGUAAUGAACAAGGUCAUAUUGAUUGGGAUAGUUUAACUUAUGGAAAUAUUAUAAGCACAAUUAAUCAAGUUGGCAUGAAAAUGUGUGUCGAUUACAAAAUUGGUAAACAAAUACAGUCCGAUAGAAAAUCUGCCAAAUAUGAAUUAGGAAACUUCUGUGAACAAUAUGGUCUUAGUAGUAUUCCUCCCUCCAGGAAAAGUAAGCCGAGUCACCUUAGAAAGAGCCGGUUUUAUUCCAAAAGAAAACAAUUCCCCAAAAACGGAAAAGCUUUAAAAAGAAAAAUUGGUCAAAAACCCCCAGAGAUCCUAAAAAGAAUCGGCCCAAGAAUGAUAAGACCAAAGUUAAAUGCUUUAAAUGUCAGAAAUUCGGUCAUUAUGCUUCUGAGUGCAAAAUAAAAGAUACUAUUAAACAGUUGCAGAUUGCAGAAGAAGAGAAAGAAAAAUUAAUCCAAGUUUUAGAGUUGCGAGACUCUGAAACAAGUAGCCCUGAAACCCUAGUUGCCAGUUCUGGAUCAGAUUCUGAACAGUUUUCAGACUCCCAGCUUAGUUCCCCAGAUAUUCAAUUUGGUUGCAUAGAUAAAUGUUGUAAUCAAUUAAAAUCUAUUUCUGUCCUCACCAAACAAGAAAAGCAAGAAGAGUUAUUAAUUGAUCUAAUCAGCCGAGUUGAAAACCCUGAGUUAAAAUCAGAAUAUUUAAAGAAAUUAAGAAAAGUGAUCAAUCAAGAAAAUCCGAGUAGUCAUUCCAAGCCCUAAACAAUUAGUUUAAACACCACUAUAGAAAAAUUUGCCCAGAAAAAGAAAGAAAUCACUUUACAAGACCUCCAAUCAGAAGUCAAAUUAGUUAAAAAAGAAUUAGUUGAAUUAAGACAGAUUAGUAAUCAGUUGCAAGUUGAAAAUCAUACAAUCAAACAAGACUUAACUAGUCUUAGAAAAGGCAAAACCCCGUUAGAACCCAGAAGUCCCUCAGUAAGCCCCGCUGAUUCUGAAGAAGAUACUCCUAAUCCACCAGUUGUCAAUUUAAUUAAGCAAGUUAAUUUCAGAAAAUGGUACUCAAAAGUUACGAUAUUCGUCCAAGAUUUUGAGUUCACCACAGUUGCCUUAUUUGAUUCAGGAGCCGAUCUUAAUUGUAUUCAAGAAGGUCUCAUUCCCACCAAGUAUUACCAAAAGUCUAGAGAGAAUUUGAGCACUGCCUCUGGAAAAUCUCUACAGUUGAAUUAUGAAUUACCAAAAGCCCAUAUCUGCCAAAACAAAGUUUGCUUUAAAACUUCGUUUGUCUUAGUUAAAAAUAUUACAGACGAGGUCAUCCUAGGAUUACCAUUCAUAAGUUUACUUUAUCCUUUCCAGGUAGAAUAUGAUGGUGUCAUCUCUACCCAGUUAGGAGAAAAAGUUAAAUUUAAUUUCCUUUCUAAACCCGAGUUGCAUAAUCUAAAAGCCCUACAAAAACAAUCUGUUUCUAAGUCAAUCCAAGUUAUUCGGAAAACUUGUCAGUUGAAUUUCCUCAAAGAAGAAAUUAGGAUUAAAAGAACUAAGCAACAACUUGCUAGUCCUUCUUUACAAUUGCAAAUUCAGAAAUUUGAACAAAAAAUUAAAAAUGAAAUUUGCUCUGAGUUGCCUAAUGCUUUUUGGUAUCGAAAACAGCAUGUUGUCUGUCUUCCUUAUAUCAAAACUUUUAGUGAGAAAAACAUUCCCACUAAAGCCCGACCAAUUCAAAUGAGUCAAGACAUGAUGGAAUUCUAUAAGAAAGAAAUUGAUGAAUUGCUUCAAAAGAAAAUAAUCCGCAAAAGUAAGUCUCCUUGGUCUUGUCCUGCUUUUUAUGUCCAGAAAAAUGCUGAACUAGAAAGAGGAGUCCCAAGAUUAGUUAUCAAUUAUAAGCCACUUAAUGCAGUUCUAGAAUGGAUUAGGUACCCCAUACCUAAUAAAAGAGACCUCAUUAAUCGAUUAGAAAAAGCAGUUGUUUACUCCAAAUUUGAUAUGAAGAGUGGCUUCUGGCAAAUCCAAAUAGAAGAGUCAGAUAGAUAUAAAACUGCAUUUGUCACCCCUUUCAGUCAUUAUGAAUGGAAUGUAAUGCCCUUUGGUUUGAAAAAUGCCCCUAGUGAAUUCCAGAACAUUAUGAAUGAUAUAUUCAAUCCUUACAGCCAGUUUUCAAUUGUCUACGUUGAUGAUGUCCUCAUCUUUUCUGAGUCCAUAGAACAACAUUGGAAGCAUCUGCAUAAGUUCUUUCAUGUUAUUAAACAAAAUGGUCUAGUUGUUUCUGCCAAAAAGAUCAAGUUGUUCCAAACCAAUGUCCGUUUUCUUGGUUUCAAUAUAUGCCAGUCGCAAAUCUCCCCAAUUGAUCGAGUUAUUCAGUUUGCUGAUAAGUUUCCUGAUCAAAUUCUUGAUAAAAGUCAGCUCCAAAGAUUUUUAGGAUCCUUAAAUUAUAUUUCUGAUUUUUACCAGAAUCUGAGAAAACAAUGUAAGCCUCUAUUUGAUAGACUACAGAAUAAUCCUCCUCCAUGGUCUUCUAUUCGUACCGAAGUUGUUAAACAAAUCAAAGCUCAUGUCAAGACACUUUCCUGUCUUGGUAUUCCUUCAGUUAACUCUUCCAAAAUAGUUGAAACUGAUGCCUCUGAUAUUGGAUACGGUGGCAUUCUCAAACAGAAAAUUGGUCCUAAUUCUCCAGAACAAAUUGUUCGUUUUCAUUCUGGAACAUGGACUCAGUCGCAACAUAAUUAUAGUACUAUUAAAAAAGAAAUAUUAGCUAUUGUAUUAUGCAUUAGUAAAUUUCAAGAUGAUUUACUUAACCAAAAGUUUUUAAUCCGAGUUGAUUGUAAGUCUGCAAAACAUGUUUUAGAAAAAGAUGUUCAAAACAUUGCAUCUAAACAGAUUUUUGCACGAUGGCAAAGUAUUUUAAGUAUAUUUGAUUUUGAUAUUGAAUAUUUAAGAGGAAGUGAAAAUUCUGUGCCUGAUUUUCUCACUCGAGAAUUCUUGCAGGAUGCACAAUGGCUCCCAAAAAAGACAAACAGAAAGAAUCAGCCAGCCAAUCUAAGCCAUCCCAGUCGCCCAAGUCAUCCCAGUCGCUCCGUAUCCUCCCUUCUUCCAUGAGUCAGCCAAAGCCAGACUUGCCCAAACAGAUAGUUCCCUAUCCCAGUUGCCCUCCUAUUUCAGUGGCCACACCAAUCUCAGUUGCUAAUAGAUUUUCUUCCCUUGGUUCAACAGUUGGUCAAGUUCGCCCCAAUUAUCAAUCCACUCUAGUUUCCAGUUAUGAUCCUUUCUCAGUUGAUAUUCAUGCAGGUCCCUCAAUCACUUACAAAAAAUCUUCCCCCUAUUUGCCCAAGAGUAAUUCGCAUUUAUUUGUUAUUGAGCCUCUGUAUGAUAUUCAUGCAGACCCCAUAGAAAUUGCCAAACACUACUUCCCUCCUGGAUUCCAUUAUAUGCCUCCAAGUCCUUAUAAGUCCCUCAAAUAUUAUAGAGAUAUAUUACUUGAAACACAAUCCGUUGAGAUUAAGCCGAUAAAGGAUCGGGAUCAUCCUGAAACCAUUCUUUAUCACUCCUUGUAUAUACACAAAAUUUUGAGUCAGGAAUCCUUCAGUAGCCGUCCUUAUGAGUUAAAAAUUUUGAAGUCAAAAUUACAAUAUAAUUAUUCUGAUUAUAUUGAAGCAUGGUAUACUAUUUUCCUUCACCAAUCUGAAGAUUUUAGUCAUUCCUGGUUUAUUAAUUUUGAUAACAAGUUCAAAUGUUCUUUCCCGUACUGGUUUCUCCACUGGUGGGAAAAAUAUGGCCCAGUUGACGAAAUUCUGCCUGUCUCAGUUCAUAAGUUGAUCCGCCACUGCACUAAGCAUGCCAAGUUCUCCCAAGUUGAUCUGUUCUUCCCAAAACAGUUGCUUUCCAUUGCCAGAUACAAGGUCCUUUGGAUUCUCAAAUGGUCUUAUAGAAUCACCAAGGAUGUCCGAGUUUUUGCCCGCCAAUUCUCUGUUAAAUGGUGGGAUAAAUUUGAAGUUGACCGAAUCGCCAAAUAUGUCUACAAUGAUCUUCCCCGUGAGCCUAUUCUGCGCCCAGCAUCUCCUAUAGGUUCAGUUCGAUCUUCCUUAUCUGUUGAGGGAAAAUCUAAAGCAGAACUCCAGGAAAUUGUGCGUCAGUUGAUUAUUCAGGCCUAUCAGAUGGAUGAUGAUGAGGACAAUGAUUCUCCCUCGUCGUCUAGUUGCCAGCCCAUGCAAAGCCCAGCUAAGCCAAAGACGUGGUAUGAAGACAGUCAAGAUCCCUAUGAUGCCUACGAUCUACAAUCUGAUUAGAGGUCAUCAUAGCAGGCGUGAUAAUUGUCCCAGUUGAACGCAUGCCCAAAAGCAGUCGCCGACAUCUCAAGUAUCUAGUGGAAGCAUCUUUUAAAGCAGCAGACAAAGCACUGUUUGCUUUAAUCAGAUCACCGAAAAGAAGCCGAAAGCAAGUUGAAACAAUCGCAUAUCUGUGCUCCUACAGUUGCCCGACAAAAUUAAAAGUUGAAACAGUUUGCAUAUCCGUGCUCCUACAGUUGCCCGAACCAUAGUUACCUCUUAUCUUAGUUACUCAAACCAUAGUUGAACAUUUUCUAUAAAUGCAGGCUUCGGCCUCAGUUGUAAGCACCGCUCAAUACAUCGCUCAAUUUUCAUUCAGUUUUUAAAGAUUCUCUCUGAAACACUCCUGGAGAAAUCACCCUUGUAAAUACUGUGUGAAGUUUGCAGUUGCAACCUCUGUGAGUAUAAAUAAAAGUUGCUAUUUUCUACUUAUUCCUAUUUUAAGUAAUUUCAUAUAAGCAUUAUCUUCUGCAUUAGUCUGAAUGUUGAGUUAAGUUGUUGCAUCUUAUUCGUUGUCUUCAUUUCAUUAUCUCCGUUGUUGGCUCUGAUACCUACAAUUGCAUCUUAAAAAUAUUCUACUCCUCUUUGUUGAAAUUAGCCUAUCACAACCGUAAGAUUUCAUCUCUAGAGGCACCCGCGCACAUCAAACAUCAUGUUUUUUCUAUUACCUAUCCAUGUAAGCUAUAACUUUAUAUUUGAACUUAAGAGCUUAGAAGUAAUAGGUCUCCUCCUCUUUAAAAUUGUAUCAACGUAUAUCCAAUGGGUUCUUUAAUAUUAGUAAGUUUCUCUCUUACUUUUUGUUUAAUUUCCAAUUUCAAUUGUUAUUGUUAGCUUUUUAUGAUUUAGAGUUUGGGUGUUAAAUUUUGGGAAUUUUUUUCUUAUGCAAUUUGCUAGGAUUUUAUUGACGACUCAUCAUUUUUCUGAUUUAAUCUAUUCAUUACUUGGUCUCUGCUUUUAUAUAGUCUAGUUAUCUCUUGGUUUUGUUGAAUGCUUGUAGCUUGUGAUUGUGCAAUUGUAGAUUUAUAUGACGGCACUCCCUACGUCUAUGUAUAUUCCCAUAAAAUUUAAAAAUUGUUAAUUGAAGAAUAGUUGCUACCACUCAUUUUCUUUGCACACAAAAAAAAACCUAUAGCCUAUAGCCAAUUACCCAUGUAAACCCCUUAUCAAAAAAACCAUGUAAACAUGUUUUUAAAAAGAAAAAAAAAAGGUAAAUCUCCCAUUAAAAGAUAUUAGUCCAACCUAUAAAAUUUCCCGAGUCCGCCCUUGUGCUCAGCCUCAUUUUAAAGCAUUUCAGUAUAAAAAUUUUUUGGGGGUUUUUCACGUUUAAGUGAAGAUAUGACUGCACCAGCGUCAUGUUGUCAAGAAAAUUGAUUCACUUAAAAUCUUAGCCUUCCUCAGUCAUUGUUAGUUUUGAAUUAAAAAAACAGUUUACUGUUAGUUGGUAACAAUUACUCAAAGGGGAAAACAGAAGUACUGAAAUUUAUGUUUUAUUUAUUUAUUGGGACUGAAAUUAAGUACAACAUUACUCUUCAAUCUUAACUCCAAAAGUGCAAUUCAAAUGAUAAAGAAGAAAAAAGAAUUGAAUGCCACAUUGCUGAAGAAACAGAGAAAACAGGACACAAGACUGUUGCCCCUAUAGAUGGUUUUAGUUGUAGGCAUCGGGGUUGGCCACAAGAUAGGUCUCAAUAAUCUUGAACAAAGCAUGGGCCUUCUCUUUGCCGGCCUUAACAUGCUCUUCCUUGAUCUCAACAUCACCUUUGGUGUGGUAGCUGCUGGUGUUCUUUAUUACUGAACCUCCAUCUGCAGAUGCCACCAACUUAAUCUCGUAAGAGAUUUUCUCUAUUUUGUCUGAAAGAGCAUCUCCUUCAAUCAAACUGUAGUUGUACACAAAGUUAUCUUUGUCAAGCGCGUCAACUUGGUGCUUCACGUAGCUGUAUUCACUUCCUGUAAUUUCAAAAUUUCAGGAUGGUUAAUGUCAAUCUUUUUAGAAAUUAUUACACUAAUGCUUUCAAGAUACAUAUUAACUUGAAAACCAAGUUAAUUAGUAGAGAGACAGACAAUGGUGGGAAGUAAACAAACCUUCACCAAAGCUAGUCUUCUUGAUGGUUCCAACACCUCCAUCUCCUUCAACAAUUUCAGCACUUUUAAUUGCUUGUGGAGCAAUCUUUGGGACUAGGUUGUCAGCAUCCAGAACAAGGGCUUUGAACAACCUAGCAGGAGGAACGACUGAGGUGAACUCGGUUGCGUAUGUGAAGACACCCAUGAUAGAUGAUGAUGAUGAUUUAAGAGCUUAGGAAAUGAUAAAAAAUAAGAAUGAAAUUCGAGGUAUUACUUGAUGUUGGAAGCUAUGAGCACUGGAGGUGGUAUUUAUAGGUUUAGGGUGAAGAGUCUGAUGUGUAAAGUGAGCCCAAUGGAUAUAAAGUUGAGUGGUUGUUUCCCAUGUGAAUAUUUUAGUCAAACAAAGCCACCUCUACAAGUUGAUUUUAAAAAUUCCAACUUAUUACAACUAGCUGGAAUUUUUUCAUAGAAUGUUCUGGUGUGCUGAGUUUGCUGACUCAAUAAUAUUCUCAUUCAAUCAACUGAAAAAUCUAACGUCCUUUUCACAUUCUUUUUCUUAUGGCCAACCCUGAUGCCUACAACAAAAACAAUCUAUGAGAUACUGCAUGUUACAAGCAACAGUAUGGUGUCCUGCUUUCUUUGUCGUUGGCUAAGGGUUGGCUUUUUUUUUUUUCUUCUGUCAAGCCAGAGCAGUCUUUGGCUUGCAUUUGGGGUUAUGAUAAAUUGUAGUAUUGUAUUUGAUCAAUCUCAAUUAAUAAAGCAAAAAUCAUUUAAUUAUAAUAUCAAAGGAAAGGGUAGAGAAUUUCGAAAUAUAACAAACUAAGGUCUCAACUUUUUUUAUUUAUAAAUAUUAUUAUUUUAAAAUUUAAACUACUAUAAUUUAUGAGAAGAGUAUCAUCUCGAGUGAAAAGGGCAGAACCAACCGGCUUAACCACGUGUACAUUGCGGUCUUUACUUUACAAUUUUGACAUUGACUUACGAAAAAGAAAUAUAAAGUAUAGACUUGACUUCAACUUGAUUAGAGCAGCAAGGUUGGUAAAGGAAAUUACUUGAAAAGAGAAGCCAUGGAAAGUCUAAAUUAGACGACAUGAUACGUCUAGGAAAGGGAUAGGGAGCCAAUCACAAUACACUAUUAUAUAAUCUCUGCAGUUGGAUCCUUAAGUGAGGUAAAAUAUGUAAUUAAUGAUGAUACACAAGGCAGAGUUGAAGCAGAUAUCUAUGUGAUUAGUCAACAAAAAGAGAUAAAGGAUGUAACUAAUCCUUCUUAAGUUGUUUUAGUUAUGAGUUGCUUGCAAUGCUUCUUUGAAUUUGAUCAUGAAAAGAGUCCAUGUGCAUUCAGAAUAGACUCUGCUUGUUAGACAGACAAGUUAAUUUUAGAACAUCCUGUUAGAAAUCAAGAUAUUAUUAAGUUAGCACACCCUCAUCCUGUUGGAAUAGUUGAAUUUUUCAAAUCAACAUCUACUGGAAGCUUUAUUUCCUUGACUAAAAUAUUGCUGUAUUUCAUUGAAAAUCAUAUUUUCCUUUUCACAUGGACAAGAACCAUUGGAAAAUUAUAAACUUGUCUAAAUUCCUUUAUUAAUGAAAGCCAUUUUACAAAUCUGGCCUUUCCCCAUUUACCUAUAAAUACCACCUCUGGUGCUCACACUUCCUCACACCAAUAUCAAACAUUCUCUUAGCUUCCUCACAUCUCAAUCUUUCUUUGAUCAUUUUCUAAGCUCUAAAAUCAUCACCAUGGGUGUCUUCACAUACUCAGACGAGUCCACCUCAGUCAUCCCCCCACCAAGAUUGUUCAAAGCCCUUGUUCUUGAAGCUGACACCCUCAUCCCCAAGAUUGCUCCCCAAUCAGUGAAAAGUGCUGAAAUUGUUGAAGGAGAUGGAGGUGUUGGAACCAUCAAGAAGAUUAGCUUUGGUGAAGGUUGGUUUCUGCCAUUGCCUCUUCUAAGUUUAACUUGUUUGCCUAAUUAAUAACAUAAAUCUUGAAAGUAUUAAUCUCUUAAUUUCUAAUUAUAAUCCUCCUUUUACAGGAAGUCAUUACAGCUAUGUGAAGCACCGGAUCGACGGGCUUGACAAAGAUAACUUUGUGUACAGCUACACUUUGGUUGAAGGCGAUGCUCUUUCAGACAAGGUUGAGAAAAUCAGUUAUGAGAUUAAGUUGGUGGCAUCUGCUGAUGGAGGUUCCAUCAUAAAGAGCAGCAGCAACUACCACACCGCAGGGGAUGUUGAGAUCAAGGAAGAGGAUGUUAAGGCUGGCAAAGAGAAGGCCACUGGUCUGUUCAAGCUCAUUGAGAACUACCUUGUGGCCAACCCAGAUGCCUACAACUAAAACCUUAAAUGAAAUAUACUGCAUGUGCUUUCUCUGUCAUUAUAUUGGUGUGGCUUUCAUUUUUCCUUUCCUUUUUGUUGUGUGUGGCCAAGGCCUUGCACUUGGAGGCCUUUGUUAUAUCAAAGUGUGACUGUUGUAUUUUUUUUUUUCAUUAAAUAAAGCAAAAAUCAGUUGCUGGUCUUUACAAAUUUGGUCUGUAGUAUUUUUUCUCUUCAAAUUAGUGAAUUUCAAAUUUUUUUUUUUACUAAUAAAAAUUUACUAGUGCAAAAUAAAGAUUUGAUAAAAUUGGAAUAAUAAGGAUGACAUGCAUAAAUCGAGAAAUGUCCCUUUGGUUUGGUCAAGGUUUUUGAGAAGUACCAUUUGGGGCAACCCAGAUGCCUUCAAUAAGUAAAACUAUCUGUCACAGUACUGCUUGUAAAGAGCAACAAAAGUCUUGUGUCCUCCUUUUCCAUCUUCAUUCAUUGGUGCAGCUUUCAUUUCUAUGAUGAGUGUGUAUUUAUUUGAAUUCAAUCUUUAUAAUUAAAGGAACAUCAUUUGCUAAUUAUUUGAUUCCGCUAAUUAAAGUGACUCAGUCUAUUUGCAUGUCUAAAAUGUACAAAUAAAAAACGAAUAAAAAAUAAAAUAAAAGUAAAAGACAUUGCAAAGAAUCAUAUCUUCAACAUGAUCAGUCCUCAGUCUAUUUGCAUGUCUAAAAUGUUGGUCAAUCCUCCUCAGUCUGACCAUAACUAACCAAUCAAUCUUAAUCAACGGUCCCGAUUUCUUUCAAUAUAUAUAUAUAUAUAUAUAUAUCCAGCCAUUAUCAAGUAUCAACUAAAGCCAGCCAUUUCCAAUUUUCCAUUGUUUGGAAUGGCACUCAGCCUGGUUCCUGCUACGCUAUUUGUGGCCGCUAAUGCCCAGCAAGUUGCUAGUGAGAAUUGAUAAACGCAAUUAGCUAGCUAGUUGUUGGGCAUAGCGGCUGCGGAUAACGUAGCAGAUAUCCACAAUAUGAAGAUUCACGACACUGUUUACAAUAAGAAUUUGGUUCCCGUUUGUCCAAUUCGCAGAUGCUCAGCCUCAUUUUAAAGCAUUUCGGUAUGAAAAAAUUUGGUUUUUCACAUGUUAGUCAAGAUAUGAUUGCACCAGCGUCAUGUUGUCAAACAGUCAUUGUUAGUUUUGAGUUUUGAGUUUUGAGUUUUGAUUAGAGAAAACUUCCAUUCAAACAGCAAAACAAUUGACUCUGACUGAUUAAAAAAACAGUUUACUAUUAGUUGGUAACAAUUACUCAAAUGAAUGUUUUAUGUUUUAUUGGGACUGAAAUUAAGUACAACAUUACUCUUCAAUCUUAACUCCAAAAGGACCACAAGCAAUUUAAGCCUGACAGCAUGAUACCAGUAAAGAAACAAAGACACCAAGGGCAAACACAAAAACUAACAUAAGCAAUAGUAGCCAAUAUGCCAUUCAUAGCCAACCCAAAAAUAAAGUGUCUCAUUGGGCAUUAAAAACCUUUCAUUUAAGUAUAUGAAGCACUGGAGAUCCUAUUAUCUUGUGAAGGCUAUCAAAUUAUUUUUGUUUGUUUCAUUUAUUGAAAUUGAACUACAUUACUCUUUAAUCUUAACUCCGAAGUGUAAGCCAAAGACUGCUUUGGCAUGAAAAAAAAAAAUUAAAAUGAAAAAUGAAAAGCCACAAUGUUGAAUGAUUAAUAGAGAGAUUGUUAGUUUUUUUUUUUUUUUUAUAAUAUUGGGUUGUCUCAAGAUUGUCUCCUACGUGAAUCGAACCCUGGUGCACUUAGUGGGUGCGCAGGAGAGUUUGGCCCACUUUUCUACCAUGGCUCUGUCAAAAUUAAUACUACGGCGCUCACAAAAGCGACUUCAGUAAAGCAGGUAGUGGUGGUGUGUUUCGCGAUUGUCAGGGCCAUGUUCUUGGGGCAUUUUCGGCCAAUUUAGAUGUUCCCUAGUGCAGUUCAUGCUGAAGUUUUAGCGGUCAUUAAGGCCAUUGAGCUUGCUUGGCUCCAUGCUUGGCAUAAUGUUUGGAUUGAAACUGAUUCGUUGUUAGUUACUAAAUUCUUUCGCUCUACACAUUUGGUCCCUUGGCUUCUACGAGUUGAUUGGCAAAUUGCUUGCAUCGUCUCCAACACAUGUCAUUUAAGAUUUCUCAUAUCUUUCGUGAGGGUAAUCAUGUUGCUGAUGCUUUGGUAAAUCAUGGUGCUUUGGCAAAUCAUGGUGCUUUGGGCUCUGGUUUAAUUUGGUGGGAUACUGCACCUUCUUUUAUUUUGCCUUUUUGUCAGUGGGACUGGCUGGGCAUGCCUAAUUACCGGUUCUCCUAGUUUCUUUUGUUUACUCUUUCAGAGUUUUGGUCUCUUAGGUCAGCAUGUUGUUGUGCAUUUCUGUCAUUGUCUUUCUCUUCUGCAGGGUUUGGUUCGGUCCCCCUUGUUGUUCUUGUAUCUCUUUUUUGUUUCUUAUUAAUAAAUUAUGAUCAAGGGGACGGGUGGGGGCUUUCGGAGCGUCGGUCCUCUCUUUGAGGAUGGUGGAUGUUUGUGCAUCUGAUGACUGAUACUGAAGAGCUAAUCUCGCCUAAUCAUUUAGUUUAUUUAUACUAUGGUGGCACCCAUGUGCCACAAUUGAUUGUUAGUUGUUGGCUAUAAAUUUCAUAUACAUCAUAUAUUUCGCGUAAUUGUUAACUUUUACUAAACGGUAGCAAAUCUUCUGAAGUUAAUUAGUACACUAGCUGGAAUCAAAUGGGACGGUGCCCAAUUGUGAUAAAAAGUUGGAGGCAGGAACUUUCUAAAGAAGUAAAUUCCAAAAUUUCACAAUAUGAUUGUCCCUACCGCACAAAUAGUAUGCACUUCUAGAACUUCAAAUUAGGAUGACUUGACUUACAUUUCAACAUGGACUGCCCAUCAUUUUCAUUUGCAUUUAAGAGUCCCACAUACGGAAAUACCAAGAGACGUCCACAUUACAUUGUAUGGUCAGAUAUUAUCUAGUCUUAAUUGCUGCAGCUCAAGUGGGUUUCGAAUUUCAAUUUCUUAUUGAAAAGCAUUCUCAUUUCUUUGAAAACUUCCUCUCUUGGGUUCUCAUACAUAUGAAAUCACAGACACUGUCAAUUUGUUACGAUGUGAGAGAAUGUAGUCGUCCAAAGCACUCAUUGAAUGCACAUGGAAAUUUUAACUUGUAUUCAAACAUUUGGCCAGAAAUAAUUGAGGUUAGUCCACCUCGUGGAUUAAUUGGAAUUUUAAAUUCAAUUUGCAGAUGGUCCUUCCCUUGACUAAAUUACAAAAUUCCUUUGUACAAAAGUAAUGGCUCCCACGUCACAAUGAAUACAACCAAUUAAACAAUUACAAACUUGCAUAAAGCUUUUGAUCACUUGGUUCUAUAAAUACCAUACCUCCUCCUCACUUCUUCACAACCCAAAAUCUCCCAUUUGCAUCAUCUUUCUUAGUCUUCCCUCUUCAUCAAUUACUUUUUUUUAUUCUCACUUUCCAAACACUUUUUACAGAAUCAUGGGUGUGUUCACAUACGAAACCGAGAUCAACUCUGUCAUCCCUCCUGCUAGGUUGUUCAAUGCCUUUGUUCUUGAUGCUGACAACCUCAUCCCAAAAAUUGCACCACAGGCAGUUAAGAGCACUGAGAUCCUUGAAGGAGAUGGAGGCGUUGGAACCAUCAAGAAAAUUAACUUUGGUGAAGGUAAGUUUAGAUUUUUUUUUUUCUUCUUCUGGUUUGUUAUUUUAACGUUACAGAAAUAUUGUUUUGGGGUCAUCUUAUCUCAUAACAGAAAGAUUCAUCUGGUUUAAUGUAUAUAUUUGUGCAGGUAGCACUUACAGCUAUGUGAAGCACAGAAUUGAUGGGAUUGACAAAGAGAACUUCGUGUACAAGUACAGUGUGAUUGAAGGAGAUGCAAUCUCUGAGACAAUUGAGAAGAUCUCCUAUGAGACUAAGUUGGUGGCAUCUGGCAGUGGUUCUGUCGUCAAGAGCACCAGCCACUACCACACCAAGGGAGAUUUUGAGAUCAAGGAAGAGCAUGUCAAGGCUGGCAAAGAGAAGGCCUCUCAUCUCUUCAAGCUCAUUGAGAACUACCUCUUGGAACACCAUGAUGCCUACAACUAAAUAUUCAUAGCUUUAUUACUUGGUGAUAUUCAAUCUUAUGUCCUCUUUGGCAUCAAAUAAUGGUGUGGUUUUUUUUUUUUUCUUCUUCUUCAUUUCUUUCCAAAACCGUGUUUGGCUUGUGCUUGGAGCUUUGGUUUGAAGAUUGAUUAAUACUAUAUUUUCUUUAGUUUCCAAUGAAUAAAAUGAAAAUCAUGGAUAUAUGAUGAUAUUUGCAAGCUCUUUUCUCGUAACAUUGUAAUGCAAAAUGUCAACAUAUCAUAUUUGAAGCGGCAUUUGUCAAUUACCAACGAUCAUAAUAAUUGAAAUAACAAUCGGACCUCAUAUGCGACAUAAUACGAUCAAUUAAUGGGAUGAAAGAAUAUCAUUUCGUUUUUCCUGUUGUAAACCAUUUGAGAAUUCAUACUAUAAAUACCGAUAUCCCGUGUAAGGGACUCUGUAGCUCAAGUGGUUAAGAUCAUUCUGCACGAGAUCCUAGAUUCAAUUCCCCCUCCCCUAAUAUAGCUUGUAUAAAAAAAUAUAAAAAAUAAAUACCGAUAACCCAUGAUGUUGAUAUCAAAGCUUAGAUAAUGAUCAAACAUAGAAUGAAAUGUGGAGGAAGAUAAGAGAAUUGAUAGAUUAAGGGGUGAAAGGUAUGUUAUGUAAACUGCAACACAAAUUUAUAAUUGUUCUUUGGAUGUCGCCCUUGUGAACAGGAAGCAGUCUGUAUCAAUGGAUAUGGAGCUCCAAGUCGAAGUGAUCGAACCUGCAAAACAUAAUUCGCAAAGGAAAGGUAAAACUUUUCACUAUCUAGCGAAAGUAGAAGAGACGAAAAAAGUAAUCUUAUUUAGAGUAUGAGGCACAGCCUACCUCAACACGUCAUGGUAGGUAAGAGAGCUAUUGCAUAUGGCUUCUGAAUAUUUAUGUAUAUUUAAAGGGUCUAGCCGCGCGGCUAUACCUAAAAAAGUUCGCAUACAUUUAAAGAGUAUAGCCACUCGGCUAUACUUUUAAAAUAUUCGAAUAUAUUUAAAUAGUAUAGCCGUGCGGCUAUACUCUUUAAUAUUAGAAAUGACGAUUUCAGGCCUGCGAUUGAGGCCAACUCGAAGCCGCGCGGCUGUACCCUAAACCCUCGAUUCGCACCCUGUUCUUGAUCUCGCGAUCGAUGGCGCCGAUGUGCUCGCUGUGGAGCUGUUGUUUAUUGGUCUGUUUCUCACCUUGUAUGACGUUUUUUGGAUUUCGAAUUCGAUUGGCUGUGCUUUGAAAGCAAAUAGAAAUUCAUAAGCAUGCUGCAAAACAAGGAUUGCUCAGUUUUAAAAAUACAAGUGUAGCUAUUCUUGAUUUUGUGAUGGCUUCUGAUAUUUAGCUAUGUUUUUAGCUUUCAUGUAAGAGAUCAACGAUUGGAUUAGUCUUAAUCUGUGCAGAAAUGGUGUGUGAGGAAGGGAGAAAUUGAUUAAAAAGGUCUGUUGGCUUGGGUCUGGGUCUUGGUUUGCAGAUUGGGUGUACGGUCUGUUGGCAAAGCCUGUCGGGGGUUGGGUGGGGGAGGAAUCGGAGACAGAGACAGAGCAGAGGGGGCGCCGCCAGGGGGCGUGGUUUGGGUGGGGGUUAUUUGUUAUUUUUGUUAUUUUUAAUUUUUUUAAUUUGUUAUUUUCUCUUUUAAAAAUGAAAUUACGAAUUCACCCCUAAUAUUGACGAAUUCCACAACUAUGUAUUGUCUAAUUUAAUUAAACUGCUAUUUAGAGAUAAUAUUCCAUAUAUGACAACCACAAGGUGUGGUGCGAUUGGCAAACUACUACCUCCAGCUGCCGAGCUACCUGAUAUCUCAAUGGCAGGAGUUCGAAACCUGUUAGAAGCACUCUGUAGCCAGGGGCAAGCCAAACCUCGAGCAGAGAUUAAUCCCACCUUUUGAGUGUGGGGACACCUCGUGGUAUUUACCAAAAAAAAAAAAAUUCCAUAUAUGACGUGUACGUUGAUAAGCAUUUAACAAGGUAAGAUUUUGUGUCCAUAUGGCACGUCUUAUCCUGAAAGAAUCUUACACACUAAACUUACACACACUACACAAAUGCUAGGACUCGAACCCAAGACCUCACCUGAGGGAGUAAAUACUCAAAACCACUACACUAGUGGGUCUUUUGCGAGUAUGGAAAAUAUUUGACAAAAAGAAAGAGUGUGGAAAGUUGUGAAUAAGUAGAGAAUGUGAUAUUUGACCAAAAAAAAGUAGAGAAUGUGAUAGCAUUUGUAAGAAAUGUGGGAAAUUUUUUGAAGUAUUUAUUGACAUCUUUUAGGUUUUUAAAAAAUAAUAAUAAUAAAGCCAAAGGCAAUUUUGAAAAGAAAAAAAAAAGGCUGCAUUUCAAAAGGGUUUAUAAUUUUUUUUAAAAAAGAAUUUUAUAUACAUUUAAAAUGUAAAAAAGGGAAGGGAAAAAAAAAGAAGGUAACGUGUCAGAACCAAUUUUUUAAAUAUAUAUUUUAAAAAAAGAAUGAAUUUAAAUACAUUUAAAAAGGUUAAAAUAAAAAAUAAAAAAAUUAACGACUAGCUGACAACAAUGCACCUUUAAUAUUAGCCUUUGGAUUUGCAGUUGCACAAGAUGUUCCAUGCUCAUGCCCAUGCGUAAUACUUUCUCUUCUUAAAAAGCACAUGCGUUGGGCCAACAAAAAAUUUGGCCUGAGCUAUAGUUGGACUACAAGUGGCCUGGUUGGAGGGCUAAAUGCCUAAAUGUGGCCCUCUAAAUUUGGCUAAAUUUUUUUUAGCCUAUAACUGAAGAUGAAUUUUGCAUUAAUUUAGUAUUUGGCCUGUAGCCCACGGCUGAAGAUAGCCUUAUCUUACCUUAUGCAUGCAUUAGAAAGUGUCUGUUUUCUUUUGAGGCCAGAUCAGUCCCAUUAAACAUGCUCUAAGCACUUCAUGAGCUGUUAAAAGUCUCUCAAUUGGUGCUCAAGGUCACAAUUUUUCUUUGGGGUGCUUAUACCCUUUGUAGCUGAAGUUUUUUUCUUUCCUGUUUUGUUUAUCUAAUUUUGGGUUUCAAGACCUCGUUUACAACUGGCAGUCAACACUGGAUUCAGUGGUAUGAUCAAAUAAACCGUACAAUAUUAACAAUAUGAUCAAUAGUUCAAAGUUACAUAAUUGAGUACCAGAUCAACUUUCAACCUUCAAUAUUUCAUGUAAAAUACAACAAUUCAAUCUUUUAAUGUGAUUUCAACUGGAACAUAUUGACUUUAUUAUAAAAUAUAUAUAUUAAAACAAAGUGUGACAUAUAUCAUGAACAACUGGACAAAGAGACACUUGAUGUACCAAGUCCAAGGCAAACCCACACCUUUAACUGACAAUGAAACUGGUAGAACCCAAAUUACAAAUAUAAACAAGUUUGGUUUUAGUUGUAGGCAUCAGGGUUGGCCGUUAGGUAGUCUUCAACAAGCUUGAAGAGACCGGAAGCCUUUGCUUUGCCAGCCUUAACUUGCUCCUCCUUGAUCACCACAUCUCCCUUGGCAUGGUAGUGGCUGGUGGUCUUGAUGAUGGAUCCUCCGUUGGGGGAUGCCACCAACUUGGUCUCAUAAGCGAUCUUCUCGAUUACGUCAGACAAGGCAUCUCCUUCAAUCAAAGUGUAGCUGUAAGAAAACUUGUCCUUGUCAAUCCCAUCGACCCUGUGCUUCACAAACCCGAAUUGGCUGCCUGCAAAUGGAUUAAAACAUAAAUUAGUAAAAUUCUUUGAGUUCAUCUAAGUGUCAAAAAAAAUGUGAACAUAUACAGAGAAUAAGGGGUCAACUAGCUAACCUUCACCAAACGUAAUUUUCUUGAUGGUUCCAACGCCUCCAUCGCCUUCAACAAUUUCAGCACCUUUGACUGCAGAUGGAGCAAUCUUGGGGAUGAGGGUAUCGGCGUCGAGGAUGAAAGCCUUGAACAACCUUGCUGGUGGGAUGACAGAGGUGAACUCUGUUUCAUAUGUGAAAACGCCCAUGAUGAUGAUGAGUUUUUUACUUGGGAAACUGAUCAAAGGAAAAGUUUAAAGGAAUAAGAGAAUAGUUGAACUACAAGGAGGUUGUGAGUUGAAGAAUGAGGAUGCUGAAGGUGAUAUUUAUCGAUCACAUCUAAGAGCAUGAACUGAGUUGAAGGUUCCCAUUUGGUGUGUGAAUAGCUGUCCUUGUACAUUGUUAACCAGUUUAUGCAAGUUGCUAAUAAAAUUGUAUUAGGAUAUGUCCAAAACGGUCAAGGAAAGCUCCCAGAGACGAAUUAAUUUACAAGCCAAUUGGUUCUAGACUGUGUACUAUAUGGGGUCGGGUUCUAGAUGGUCUUCCAAUUAUAAUUUGAAUUUUCAAUAAACAAAUGGUCGGUCAUGAAAGUUAACUACAUCAGCUGUUGUUUCUGAAUCCGUGAGGAAUCAUUUUUUUCCUCCACAAUGGCAACUGGCUGGCAGUCAACAUCGGCUUUAUUUUUUUAUUUUUUAUUUUAUUUUCUAGUCAACAUUGGCUUAUUUUCUUUUUUUAUUGAUACUGUUUUUUCAAUUUUAUAAGGUUUGGAUAUGAGGUGCAGUAAAUUUCUGCCUAGAUUCACUGCAAAAAUCUACUUCACAACCAGACUAAGGAACAUUUACUGAUGUUGCAAAUGUCUUCCAUGACAUAUUGAAUAUAUGCCAGACUAAAAGCAUACUUAGAGCAAUUUCACCUACUGUGCCAUGACAAAGAGCAAGAGCAAGUAAAGGCAGACACUAUUCACAUGAAUAGUGACUAUCCUAGCAAUUUUUUUUGAUGCAUUCCCUCCCACCUAUUGCCAUGGCAAUCCAAGGAUAAUCACUAUUCACAUGAGAUAUUAGGAGAGAAAUUUGUAUGAAUUUUGGUAUAGAAAGUGAAGAACAUGGUUAGGUAUUUAUAUAUAAAAAAAAAAUUAUGAAUUUUUUUCCCUUUCUUUCCCAAUUUUUUUGGUAUUUAAAUUGGUCGCUGACGUCAGCAACUCAGGCAAGUCUUGCCUUUGGGCUUGCCCAGUUUUAUGGGCCCAUUUUUUUCCAUGGCAAAAGGUAAUGGUUGUAAGUUGUUUUUGGAGCCUAAGCCCCAUUUUGCCAUGGCAAAAAGUGAUGGGUGGAAGUGCUCUUAGCAAUUAAUCAAUCUUGUACUUAGGCUGCAUGAGUGAGUGGAAAAGUAUUAGAAAACCAGUGUAACAACAUAUGUUUAAGCCUAUCAGAUCAGAUGUUCAUCUUCAUUCAUCCCACAAACUAAGACUUUAUCAGUCUAUAAGAUGUACAAAUUGACCUUAUUAGUUAAAUAAUUAUGUUAUGUAUAAUGUAUCUGCCAUCAAGUACUCCAAGUACUUAAUUGAGGUUAGCAACUCUGGUUGGCUGGACUAAUUGGGUUAUUAAGAUUAGCUAUUUGAGGCGGCUUCUUAGACUUGAACAGUAAGUCAAUGAAAUUGAAAAUUCUAGCCCCCUUUUCCAAUAGGGACAUUCAUUGAAAACUUUAAUCUACAGGGGAAAUUUCUAACACCAUGACCAUAUGCUUCCAUCUAUAAAUAGCACAUCCAGUGCUCACAUUUUCAAGCAUCAAAUAUCAUCCCUGCCAAUCAUCUAAUCCUUUCACACUUUCAUCUUCUUUGAUCAUUUUCUAAGCUCUAAAAUCAUCACCAUGGGUGUCUUCACAUACUCAGACGAGUCCACCUCAGUCAUCCCCCCACCAAGAUUGUUCAAAGCCCUUGUUCUUGAAGCGGACACCCUCAUCCCCAAGAUUGCUCCCCAAUCAGUUAAAAGUGCUGAAAUUGUUGAAGGAGAUGGAGGUGUUGGAACCAUCAAGAAGAUUAGCUUUGGUGAAGGUUGGUUUCUUCCACUGCCUCUUCCAAGUCUAACUUGUUUGCUUGAUUAACAUAAAUCUUGAAAGCAGUAAGCUCUAAAAUUCUAAUCAAAUCUUCAUUUUACAGGAAGUCAUUACAGCUAUGUGAAGCACCGGAUCGACGGGCUUGACAAAGAUAACUUUGUGUACAACUACACUUUGGUUGAAGGAGAUGCUCUUUCAGACAAGGUUGAGAAAAUCACUUAUGAGAUUAAGUUGGUGGCAUCUGCUGAUGGAGGUUCCAUCAUAAAGAGCACCAGCAACUACCACACCAAAGGUGAUGUUGAGAUCAAGGAAGAGGAUGUUAAGGCUGGCAAAGAGAAGGCAACUGGUCUGUUCAAGCUUAUUGAGAACUACCUUGUGGCCAACCCAGAUGCCUACAACUAAAACCUUAAAUGAAUAUAUACUGCAUGAUGUGCUUUCUCUGUCAUUAUAUUGGUGUGGCUUUCAUUUUUUCCUUUUCUUUUUCUUGUGUAUCAACCCAGAGCUGCUUUGGCUUGCACCUAAGUCUAUGAUAAAUUGUAAUGUGUGUAUUUGAUUUGAUUCUCAAUAAAUAAAGCAAAAAUCAGUUGCUGGUCUUUACAAAUUUGGUCUGCAGUUAGACAAGGAUAUACAAUAAAAGCAGAAGAGCAUAUCUGCUUGAAUAUUUAUUUUGUUCUUUGUUAAAUACCUUUGGGGAACAAUAUAAAAGAAUACAGAAAAUACAUUGUAGCACUCAAAAUAAGAGAAAUUCCAUUUCUGUUUAAUUAAAUGUUGGCCACAAAUGGCUUUGCAAAGUCAGAAGAUUUGAUUGAUAACAAAUGGGCAGCAGAGUGAGUUUCAAAGAAUAAUAAACCUCGUGGUGUGUGGACUUGACUUACCAUAAGAAAUAUGAAGUGUGUGGACUUGACUUCAAUUUGAUUAGAACAGCAAAUUUGGUAGAAGAGAUUACUUGAGAAGAGAAGCGAUUGAAAGUCUAAAUUGGAUGACAUGUUUGUGAAAGUGAUAGGGAGACAAAGCACAAUACAAUAAUGUAUAAUUCCUGCAUUGUGGGGUCUUUGAUGAGGUAGAAGAUUUAUGAUUAAUGGACAUUUGAAGCAGAAAAUGGUGCAGAUGGCUGAUGUUGAAGCAGAGCAUCCUCUGUAUGAUUAGAGAGGACUCAAGUCUACAAGACGUAUACACCAGGCUAAAUUACACGUAUCGUAUUUACUUAUCACAUCUCUUAUAGAAUGAAAAUAUAAUUAUACAUGCCAAUGAGGUCUAGCCCAUUGAAAAAAGGCCUUAAUUUGCAGAUUAGUGUGUUAGAUUUCUUUAUAUACAUGUUCAAGAUCUUUCACACAAUCUGAAAUACGUAAAGACAUACCUAACGCCAUCUUUCUUGAGUACACGACCUCUGCUCUCUCUCAAAAUCUGUUUCAACUCUCUCUUUAUGAUGAGAUUAGGGUUAGAUAACGUGUCUAACGAGAGCAAGACCUUAAGCUUAUAUAGGGCUAUGUCAAGUUGUCUCUACUCAUCACCGAGGGCCGACUUGACUAAUCUUCUAAGCCCACCAAGCAACGAUUCACACAAAAAAGGAAAUUAAUAGAACCCCUUAGGCUUUAAAACCUUUCCUUAGUCCACAAGGUUUCGGGCCUCAAGGUAUAACCUAAUUUAAACUCUUAUUAUCAAAACCGGAUAUAACUUAGUAUCUAGUGCACCAAUCUAAAUAGGCAACAUAACAUAGUGGUCUCAUAUUCGAAUCCUCAUAGUUAUUUGGUAGUGUGUAUGAAAAAUUCCCCCCUCCCCCUCCCCCUUCCCAACUUUGACAAAAACAAAUAUAAUUAAACAUAUGGGUUUUAUAAUUUCUAUAUUUGUAAAAUAUAUAAUACUUUUGUGUGGUUUGCCACACUAUUGUGCCAAGCUUAAGCCCACAAUGAAACCACAAACAGAAGCUCGUUUCGUAUUGACCACAUAGAAGCCCAAAGUGGAGAGCCCACUUAUUUUCUAUAUAAUACUAGAGAGACUGUAUAAUGAGGGGUUAUUUGAUACAUUUUGUAAGAGCAUCUUUAAUAGGCUCUUUAACAACUCCAGAAUGCUAAAAUAAGUGAGCCACAUCAUCAAAAUUCUCUCUAACAACUUUAGAAUGCUAAAAUAGGUGAUCCACAUCAUCAAAACCCUCUCCAACAACCUUAUCAAAGUCAAUCAUCAAAGUUGCAACCUCUUUCCUCUAUUUUCAGGAUUGGUAAGUUGACUUUGAUUCAAAAAUUAAUUUUACUUUGGAAAAAUAAAACCUACCUUGAAAAUAUUAAAACAUGCAUUUUUUUUUCCAGAUAAUAAAUACAUAGAAAUUCUUCACAUAUUUUCAUAUUUUUCAUUCUUUUUCAUAACAUUGCAUUAAUUGAAUUUGAAGAGUCUGAUAUGGCAUAAAUUAUAAAGUAGCAAAUAAACCUUUUCAAAUUACCACAUAAGUCAACAAACUUUAAUUUGAAAAGUUUAGUUUGCUACUACUAUUGGAGAAGAGCAUCUCCAACAGCUUUUUCAAAGACUUUAGGACACUAAAAUAAGUAAGCCACAUCAAAAAAACCUUCUUUAACAGUCCUGUCAAACCCACUCACCAAAUCUAGUACUCUUCCUUCACUCUGCAACAUAUUUAUUAAGCUUUGAAACAACAAAAGCUGUAUUGGAAUGUUAAAAGCCUACAUGAGAUUGAGUUAACAAUAAUGAAUUAUUAUUUAAAUAUUAAGUUGGUAUUAUUAAAUUGAAUAUAAUAUUAGUGUUUGAUUAAAUAGAAAAAGAAAAGUCAAACAUUGAAAUUAAUAAAAUUGAAGAGGUUGAUAGUGAUACAAAAUAGUAAAGUAGCAAAUUUUACCCUUCAAAUUACCACGUAAGUCAACAAACCACAAUUUAAAGAAUUUAGUUUGAAGAAAUUAUUGAAGAUGCUUCGUUUAUCCACAUUAACUCAAUCAUUAAUGUAAUUAGUUAAUACAUUACAAAUAGGGUUUUAUUCUUGUAACAAAGUGAGGCAAAUUAAGUUUUUUUUAGGGAUUUGAUUUCCCCACUCUCCUUUUCUCCACUUACACUAACUUUUUUUUUAAAUACUUUUUAAUCAAUUUUGUUCUUUCUCUUUCCUAUUCUAUCUUUACCUUGCACUAAUUUCUUUUUACUUCACUUUUAUAUUAGUUCUUUUCCUUUAUACUUAAUUUUCCAGCUUGUACUCCAUUUUUAGUAUUUUUUUUCCUUUAAUCGAGUAAUAAAUUAUUAUUUUUCCCUUUAAUACUGAAAAUGGAGUGUAAGUUGAAAAAUGGCCAAAAGUCACUUUUGGUCCUGUAGUUUAGUACUUCAACCACUUUUGAUCCUAUAGUUUCAAUUCUAUCAAUUUUGCCAUUGUAGUUUCGUAUUUGUAACAAUUUAAGGAUAUGUUAGCAUUCUUGUUAAUUUCUUUCAUGAUGCAAGGGGCAAUUUCGUCAACACAAAACCGUUAAGCGUAAAAGCUUGUCUGAAAUUCUCCCAAUGUCAUAUUAGGGCUCAAAAUUCAACCACUAAUCCCAAUUUUUGAAGAACCCUAAACCCAAAUAACCAAUUUCAAGCCCUAAUAUGAAAUUAGGGGAGUUUCAGAAGAUCUUUUAUGCUCAAGGAUUUUGGGUAGACAAAAUUGCCCUAUGCACCGUCAAAGAAAUUGACAGGAAUACUAAUUUGUCCUUAAAUUGCAACAAAUACGAAACUACAGGGUCAAAAUUGACCGAAUUAAAACUACAGGGUCAAAAGUGGUUGAAGCGCCAAACUACGGGGACCAAAAGUGACUUUUACCCAAAAAUAAGUAUAAAGAAAAAGAAAUAACAUAAAAGUGAAGUAAAAAAGAAAUUAAUGUAGGAUAAGGAUAGAAUAAGAAAGAGAAAUAACAAAAUUGAAUAAAAAGUAUUAAAAAGUAAAAGAGAGUGUAAGUUAAGAAAAGAAAAACGGGAAAAUCAGCUCACUUUUUUAAAUAUGAUGAUAUUCUUAUCAAAUUGCACCGAAAACAGUACCGAUUCUGCUAUUUUUGUUUUGUCUUUUUUCCCCACUCUGUUAAUUAUCCAAAUUAUGAGUCCCGCCAACUUUGAAGGUUGUCUUUUAUGUCAAAAAUAAUGCUGAGCAUCUAUUUCCUUUCUCCUUCUCUUUUUGUCCGGACAUUGAGCAUUCAGAACUCUGGCUUUAUUCCUCGCUUAUGUAUUUUGGAACAUAAUUGGUGUUGAUUUUCAACAGUGAAUUGCAAUAUCAUGCGAGAGUACUUAUAGCUAAAAUAAUUAAGAGUAUUUAUUCUUGCAUUUGAGGUCUUACGUUCGAUUCCCCCCUCUCCGAAAUAUUGCUUGUAUUAAAAAUUUUUUGUAAUACUCUGAUCACAGGAACAUUCCACAUGUGCAUUCUAUAUAAUAGUUGGCAUUCGGAGUCGACUAUGCAUGUAGAUAGACAUGUUAAUUUUGGAACAUCCUAUUGGUCAAUUAGAAUAUUAUUAAGUUAGCACACCAGUUGGAAUAAGUUGAAUUUUCCAAAUAAACUUUUAGUGGUGGCGUAAUUUCUUUGACUAAAAUAUUGAUUGAAAUUGGGAAUUAUAUUUUUCCUUUUCACAUGUACAACCACCGCUAAAAAAAAAAUUAAAAUUGUCUAUAUAUGGGAGCUACUUUACACAUAUACCCUUCCCCCUACCCUAUAAAUACCACCUCUGGUGCUCUCACUUCCUCACACCAAUAUCAAACAUUCUCUUAGCUUCCUCACAUCUCAAUCUUUCUUUGAUCAUUUUCUAAGCUCUAAAAUCAUCACCAUGGGUGUCUUCACAUACUCAGACGAGUCCACCUCAGUCAUCCCCCCACCAAGAUUGUUCAAAGCCCUUGUUCUUGAAGCUGACACCCUCAUCCCCAAGAUUGCUCCCCAAUCAGUGAAAAGUGCUGAAAUUGUUGAAGGAGAUGGAGGUGUUGGAACCAUCAAGAAGAUUAGCUUUGGUGAAGGUUGGUUUCUGCCAUUGCCUCUUCUAAGUUUAACUUGUUUGCCUAAUUAAUAACAUAAAUCUUGAAAGCAUUAAUCUCUUAAUUUCUAAUUAUAAUCCUCAUUUUACAGGAAGUCAUUACAGCUAUGUGAAGCACCAGAUCGACGGGCUUGACAAAGAUAACUUUGUGUACAACUACAGUUUGGUUGAAGGAGAUGCUCUUUCAGACAAGGUUGAGAAAAUCAGUUAUGAGAUUAAGUUGGUGGCAUCUGCUGAUGGAGGUUCCGUCAUAAAGAGCACCAGCAACUAC
rnacentral:lncRNA from 1 species